rnacentral:misc_RNA from 1 species
AUAAGGGCUUGCAAAUCCAGUUCGUAUUCCAAUUAACUUUAAAUAGUUUAGUUUGUUUGUGGUCAUUUCGGCUUCGAGGUAUAUUAUAAAAACGGAAUUAUCAUACUUUUUAAUUGUAUUUAUAGUAUCUAUCAUAUAGAUAAUAGAAUGGAGUCGAAAAAUGAAAGCUACGUGAUAUCACUGGACGCUGUGGAUUUGAACUUGCUACCAAUAUCACAGACACACAGGGACGGUGGAGCUGUACCGCUGUGGAGUAAGAGCAAUUUGGAUUCGAGAAGAAAAGAAUAUUAUGAAUUUAUAAUUAAAUCUGAUGACACAAAAG